rnacentral:snRNA from 1 species
AUACUUACCUGGUGCUGGGGUCUCGUUGAUCACCGAGGACGAGCCCCCAGGGCGAGGCGUGGACAUUAACUGCGCUCGCGUUGACCCCUGCCACUACCCCCAAACUUGAAGCAGAUGGGUAUGCAAAUUGCUUAAAUCCGGUUCAACGCAAGAGAGGGCGCCACCGCA